rnacentral:pre_miRNA from 1 species
UGGCUGUGUAGCCAAGGAUGACUUGCCGGCCGGCCUGUGGUUGGUUGCUCAUCUCGGCAAUUUGGCAUCAGCAACCGUGCUUGCUGUGUGAAAUGGCGCCGUACAUACGUACGUGCGAUCGAUUUCAUCGACGCACUGAUGCAUGGACCGGCAAGUUUUUUCUUUGGCUACACUGUAGCCUCG